rnacentral:lncRNA from 1 species
UAAUUGUCAAGUCCAAAAAUUUAUAUUUUUUACUCUAUGGUGUAUUAAAUUAGAUAUUUUAAGAGCCAUGAUAUCUUAUGUGUCUUAGUCUAGAUCUUUAUAAAUAUUAUCGUAUGUUCCUUGUCCUCCCUGCUAGUGUAAACAAUAUAGGCCAAUUUAUGAAUUUCAUUAACUUACACACUUGUAUAUUAAUGGACAAACUAACUCAACAUGGAAACAACCAUAUCGAAUUGAUUCUCAAUUGCAACACACAAAUAGUAAGGAAAUUAAAGAUCCAUAACACGCAAAUUGAGACAGUAAAUUUUCACUACUCCAUAUGAUACAAAGAUUCUUAUUAGACAUGAUGCAAAAUAUUAAUUUGAUAAAGAAAAGAAAAAACACAUUAUGAUGAAGAAAGAGCAGGAGGACAAUCACAAAACAAUAAAUCUAGUGGUAUGAUAUUCAAUUAAAGACAACAAUCCAAAGCACAAAAUAUAAAAAAAGCUUGAGAAAUAUAAACUUUGAAGUGUCAACCCAUUCCCCAUGCCUCAACUCUCAACUUAUGCAACCAUGUUUAUGAAAAAACUAACAAAUAAAUUAUUCAAGUAAUGAUAAUUAAAAAUUAAACUCCUAAAUACUAUCAAAAUAUCCAUUAUUGAGUUGAUCAUACAUUAUAAAAAAAGUUUAAAUAGUAAAAGUAAUUAAAACAGGAGGAAAAUAAACAAGAAACCAAACCAAAUUAAACUCUGAAUUAUUGCAAAAUAGCUUAUAUAGUAAAAAAAUUGGAAAACAUCGUCUGAUUUAAAUCUUCAAAAAUUAUAUUGUCUUUUAUCAUUUUUUCUUUCACCAUUUAAUUACAAAACGAAAAUAUGACCUAUGUCAUGAACUUUAAUUGAAAUAAAGCAUACCUCUUGACAAAUAUAAAGAAUAAGAGAUAAACAUUAAGUAAAAGAAGGAUGGUUCUCAAGAAAAAAAUAACAAUCAAAGUUAUGAAGUUUUAGCUUACCUUCUCACUUCCAAGGUGGCAUAGCCAAAGAAGUUAUGGAAUCCCCCUUCAUAAUGAGUAUUGUACAAACAUCUAAUAAAACUUAGAUGAGUAUCUUCCCCUCUAUUUUGAUGUAAUGACGUUGCAAAAUAGUCUCAAUGCGGAAGAGAAACGAAAUCUAGCAACUACAACGAGAAAAAAAGAAAUGGUUUUGAGAAAAAAGAAAGGGUUUUGCGGCGUCAAUAUGAGAAAAAAAGGUUUAAGAGGACAAUGAGCAACACUGAAGACAAAGAAGAGAAAAGGGUUUCUCAGAAU